rfam:Medicago truncatula strain A17 chromosome 3, whole genome shotgun sequence.
GUCCCUUUGGGAACAUCCGAUAAAAUUGGAACGAUAUAGAGAAGAUUGGCAUGGAUGGCCCUUGCACAAGGAUGACACGCACAAAUUGAGAAAUGGUCCAAUCUUCU